UACAGAGGUCUCGAGCGUUGUUCGGAUUCAUUGGGCGUAAAGGGUGCGUAGGUGGCGCUGUAAGUCGGGUGUGAAAUCCUGAGGCUUAACCUCGGAACUGCAUUCGAUACUGCGGCGCUUGAGGACUGGAGAGGAGACUGGAAUUCAUGGUGUAGCAGUGAAAUGCGCAGAUAUUAGGAAGAACACCGGUGGCGAAGGCGGCUCUCUGGAACGGUACUGACGCUGAGACGCGAAAGCGUGGGGAGCGAACAGG
rnacentral:rRNA from 1 species